UACGUAGGGUGCGAGCGUUAAUCGGAAUUACUGGGCGUAAAGCGUGCGCAGGCGGUUUUGUAAGCCGGAUGUGAAAUCCCCGGGCUUAACCUGGGAAGUGGCAUUCGGGACUGCAAGGCUGGAGUGCGGCAGAGGGGGAUGGAAUUCCGCGUGAGCAGUGAAAUGCGUAGAUAUGCGGGAGGAACACCGAUGGCGAAGGCAAUCCCCUGGGCCUGCACUGACGCUCAUGCACGAAAGCGUGGGGAGCAAACAGG
rnacentral:rRNA from 1 species